GGUACUCUAGUAAAAGUCGAGAAUAACAAAGUGAGCCGGAGGCCCAUAUAGGCCCAUAUUAGGUGGGCUGAUUAAUUACCACAGGUUUGCGGGUGCAGCAUAGCAUCAUGCAUUUCUUCAAUUUUGCAGCCAUUUCAAUCUCUCUCUGCACAAAAUUAAAUAAUUAAUAUUCAUAUUUUAAUAAAAAAUAAUGUAGCAAUGCGUCAUUUCUCUUUAACUUUAUAAAAAUAUCUUAUUUUCGGUUGAAAUCAUCAAAUAGUAACUCAAUAGUUUAAGUAGUAUUAUUUCGGUUGGAAAUGCAUCAAAUAGUAACUCAAUAGUUUAAGUAGUAUUUGAGUAAAAUUGAAUUCCCAUAUACUAGAAUCACUGGUUUUGAUAUGUAAACCUUUCUAUAUAUACAUUAAAAAAAUAUACUAUACUUAAAAAAAAUUAAAACUACCUCAUGCACAAAAAAUUAUUAUAAGCAUCGAGUGUAUUAAUAAAGUGAAGUACGUGUGAGUGUUAUGGCACACAAAUGUGAGUUUAUUAAGUGUACACCGAAGGCAAUGUAUAAUCUUCGUAUAUUAAUUGCUCAUUCAUUCGAAAUUGAAUUAGAAUAAGUAAAUAUUCAAGAGUUAUCUACUUGAAAGGUAGAUUCUAUAUCUAUGAUUGAUUUAUGUUAAAUUCAAAUGAAACAUCAUAUAUAGUUAUGGUUUUGCCCAAUGCCAAAUUUUCAACAAUGCGCAUCGAAGGUAGCGACGGCGGCUAUUCGUAAAAUCUAAAUAAAAUAAAAGGGAAAGAAAAGUGAAGUAGGUGACUAAAUCGAAAAAUAAAAAUAGAAAUAAGUACCUAAGAAUCUUCUUGGUUGCUUCUCUUUUGUGUGAUGAGCUGAGAAAAAUGGUUUUAACAUAAAUAUGUAGAAGCUAUAUUGUUUCUUGCAGCCUUAUAUUGAACAAAAUAAGAGAAUGUUUUGGUGGUGUCGUGCGCUUUGAAGAUUGUACAUUAUAUUAUUUUAUUAAGAGACAAAAAUGAUAAUAGGAUUGGGAUUGUGUCCAUUGCUGAGGUGUGGAUGAAAUUGGAUAGCUA
rnacentral:lncRNA from 1 species